AUUGAACGCUGGCGGCAUGCUUUACACAUGCAAGUCGAACGGUAACAGGCCGCAAGGUGCUGACGAGUGGCGAACGGGUGAGUAAUGCAUCGGAACGUGCCCAGUCGUGGGGGAUAACGCAGCGAAAGCUGCGCUAAUACCGCAUACGAUCUAUGGAUGAAAGCGGGGGACCGUAAGGCCUCGCGCGAUUGGAGCGGCCGAUGUCAGAUUAGGGAGUUGGUGGGGUAAAGGCUCACCAAGCCAACGAUCUGUAGCUGGUCUGAGAGGGCGACCGCCCACACUGGUACCGAGGCGCGGCACAGACUACUACGGGAGGCAGCAGUGGGGAAUUUUGGACAAUGGGCGCAAGCCUGAUCCAGCAAUGCCGCGUGCAGGAAGAAGGCCUUCGGGUUGUGAACUGCUUUUGUACGGAACGAAACGGUCCUGGUUAAUACCCGGGGCUAAUGACGGUACCGUAAGAAUAGGCACCGGCUAACUACGUGCCAGCAGCCGCCGUAAUAC
rnacentral:rRNA from 1 species